rnacentral:rRNA from 1 species
UACGUAGGGUGCGAGCGUUGUCCGGAAUUACUGGGCGUAAAGAGCUCGUAGGUGGUUUGUCGCGUUGUUCGUGAAAACCUGAGGCUUAACCUUGGGCGUGCGGGCGAUACGGGCAGACUGGAGUACUGCAGGGGAGACUGGAAUUCCUGGUGUAGCGGUGGUAUGCGCAGAUAUCAGGAGGAACACCGGUGGCGAAGGCGGGUCUCUGGGCAGUAACUGACGCUGAGGAGCGAAAGCGUGGGGAGCGAACAGG